rnacentral:misc_RNA from 1 species
GAAAUGCGAUAAGUAAUGUGAAUUGCAGAAUUCAGUGAAUCAUCGAAUCUUUGAACGCACAUUGCGCUCGCCAGUAUUCUGGCGAGCAUGCCUGUUCGAGCGUCAUUUCAACCAUCAAGCUCUGCUUGCGUUGGGGAUCCGCGGCUGCCCGCGGUCCCUCAAAAACAGUGGCGGGCUCGCUAGUCACACCGAUCGUAGUAACUCUACAUCGCUAUGGUCGUGCGGCGGGUUCUUGCCGUAAAACCCCCAAUUUCUAAGGUUGACCUCGGAUCAGGUAGGAAUACCCGCUGAACUUAAGC